ACACAAAAUGAGGGCACUUCCC
rnacentral:miRNA from 12 species